rnacentral:rRNA from 1 species
UUCAUAGGUGGCGAACGUUAUCCGGAUUCAUUGGGCGUAAAGGGUGCGUAGGCGGCGCGGUAAGUCGGGUGUGAAAUCUCGGGGCUUAACUCCGAAACUGCAUUCGAUACUGCCGUGCUUGAGGACUGGAGAGGAGACUGGAAUUUACGGUGUAGCGGUGAAAUGCGUAGAUAUCGUAAGGAAGACCAGUGGCGAAGGCGGGUCUCUGGACAGUUCCUGACGCUGAGGCACGAAGGCCAGGGGAGCAAACGGG